UCCAGAGAAUAUUUACUCCUUGCCUUGUAAGUCUACUGUAUCAGGGUCAAAACUCUUAUUGAGAAGGUAUAGAAUCCUGAGAUUUGGGAUGGGGACAUUUGAGUCAAAACACUUGAAAACCUGAAUCCUCACAUUCCUCUGAAAUCUCAGCGUGCAGAUAUGGCCGACUUUUCCUUGUUGAAGACAAAUGUUCUACCAUCUUCUGGAAGAUGAUAUAGACAACACAUGCUGACCUCCAUCUCUCCUCUUGUAUUAACAUAACCCAACUGGGAUAAUGCUGGACUUUCUAUAGAAAAGAAAGGACCUAGUUAAUGUGUUUCAGGAAGAGCCUGGAGAAUAUGUGUGGGGCUGGAUUCUGGGGAUAACUGAAUUGAGGGAGAACAGAACUUAGUUGGAUAAGAUAGUUUAUUGAUAUGGAAAUGCUUUCUUCUGAUAUAGGAUUUAACACUGCAUCAAAGACCCCAAGAAAUGCUAUUAAAAUGCAAAUAAGUUGGUUCUUAGAAGUUUGGAGAAAGCAAUGGCACACAUUUAAAGAAGCAGAAAUGCUAGAGUUGCUAUAGCAGACAAUGGAAGAAGAAACCAAGAGACUCGGAGAACAUGCAGGAGGGAUGUAUUAGAGGGCAGUAAUUAUUAUAAUAGUACUGUUAAAGACGAUGAAGACUUACAGACAUGGAGACAAAGAAGAAUUGAAGUGGAUAUGAGCAAAAUAAAUAUCUUUUCCUCCUACUUAUCCAGAAUUCUCAAAAGUGUUUUUCUGGUAUUGGUGAUAGGUUUAUGCUGGCCUAAUAAAAUGAGUUGUCAAGUGUCAAGCCUUGUCGACUUUCUUAAAGAGAUAUUAAUUAUUUUGACAAGCAGCAGGGAAAUGCCAUGAAUAUGUGAACUGAUGAAAACAAAAGCAAUGAUACUUCCAAGGAUGCACCUGACAGCUCUUAAGGGAUCUAGAGAAAUGAGAGAAUUACAGAGAAGAUUUCAAGUGUUUUACUAAUAAACUCAGGUACUGAAUUUAAAGGAAUGCCCGUGGCUUCUACCCUAGAAGAUCUUAAGAGUCUGAAUGGAGGAAGAAAAGCUAAAAAGUAAUGAUAGUGGCAUGUGAGGAAGGUAUAUAAUAGAGGAAGCCAUGUAAACACUAAAGUGCCUCUAUUCCUGUGAAAUAUUCAGAAGAUUAUAUUUGGUUUGUGUCUGAAAGCCCUGUGGCUGUGUGUCACCAAAAAUGGUGUAAAAGGUGGUAGUGCAUCCCGGACAGAGGGGAUAGCAUGGACAAAGACUCCAAGUCAUUAGACUUUUAGUUUGUUGGAAGAACUGGAAGGAAUUUAGUAGGCCCAAGUCAUAGUCGGUGCUUGCCGGUCAACACACCUGCUUUUUCCUUCCUGAAAUUCUCAUGCAAGCUAAUCUCAUCAGCCAAAUUGUUCAACUCCAGAGGUCUAGAGACCUGCUACUCCUACAAAUCCUCCUUUAAAAAUUAUUUUAACUGAUGAAUAAUAGUGUAUAUUUAUGGGGUACAAUGUGAUAUUUUCAUAGAAAUAUACAAUGUGGAAUGACUAAAUCAAGUGAAUUCACAUAUCCAUUACCUAAUUUAUUUACAUGGUGGCACAUUUAAAAUUUACUCUUAGCAAUUUUGAAAUAUACAAUUCAUUAUAAACUAUACUCACCAUGCUGUGUAAAAGAUAUCAAAGACUUAUUCCUCCUGUCUAACUGAAACUUUGUAUCCUUUGAUCACCAUCUCCCCAGUCUUCCAUUUACUCUCUCCCUGACCCUCUGGUAGCCACCAUUCAAUUACUACUUCUAUGAGUUUGACAUUUUUAGAUGUUUGUCUUUCUGU
rnacentral:lncRNA from 1 species